rnacentral:rRNA from 1 species
AUUGAACGCUGGCGGCAUGCCUUACACAUGCAAGUCGAACGGUAACAGGUCUUCGGAUGCUGACGAGUGGCGAACGGGUGAGUAAUACAUCGGAGCGUGCCUAGUAGUGGGGGAUAACUACUCGAAAGAGUGGCUAAUACCGCAUGAGAUCUACGGAUGAAAGCAGGGGAUCGCAAGACCUUGUGCUACUAGAGCGGCCGAUGGCAGAUUAGGUAGUUGGUGGGAUAAAAGCUUACCAAGCCGACGAUCUGUAGCUGGUCGGAGAGGACGAUCAGCCACACUGGGACUGAGACACGGCCCAGACUCCUACGGGAGGCAGCAGUGGGGAAUUUUGGACAAUGGGCGCAAGCCUGAUCCAGCAAUGCCGCGUGCAGGAUGAAGGCCUUCGGGUUGUAAACUGCUUUUGUACGGAACGAAAAGCCCCGGGUUAAUACCCUGGGGUCAUGACGGUGCCGUAAGAAUAAGCACCGGCUAACUACGUGCCAGCCGCCGCAGUAA